ensembl:lncRNA
GGACCUUGGGGACAUGGGGAUGGUGUGAGCACCCCAAGAUAGGGGAUGGUGUGAGCAUUCGGGGACAUGGGGGUGAUGUGAGCACCCCAAGAUCAUGGGGAUGGUGUGAGCACCCCAAGAUGGGGGAUGGUGUGAGCAUUCGGGGACAUGGGGGUGAUGUGAGCACCCCAGGAUCAUGGGGAUGGUGUGAGCACCCCAAGAUGGGCGAUGGUGUGAGGACCUUGGGGACAUGGGGAUGGUGUGAGCACCCCAGGAUGGGUGAUGCUGUGAGCAUUCUGGGGACAUAGGGAUGGGGUGAGCACUUUGGGGACAUGGGGACGAUGUGAGCACCCCGAGGGUAUGGGGUACCACCCCCAAGAUGGGGGAUUCUGUGAGUGAGUCCCGGGGAGGGAGGCAGAGGAGGAGAAGAGUGAGAUGAACCACGAUACCUCUUGUUGGAUCCAGGGUGGCAAUAAGGCACUGGGAACCACAACGGGGUACUUGAAAAUUACUCUGAUGAUGGCACGGGAUCCUUCUGGGCUCUCUUUCACUUUGCUUCUGAGUAUCUGGAGAUGAAAAGUGACUCCAAAAGUGAUUCCCGAGCUGGAACGAGAAGCAAUCACUUCCAAACUCAAAGAAAGGCACUGAUGUUCUGCCUGGAACUGUUAUUGCUCUCCCUGCAGCAGGACGGGGCCAUGGUGGGGGGGGGAAGGAUGAGACCUGGUCCCAAGAGGUGCCCCCAAACCCAACGUGAGAUGCUGGGAUGAUGGCUGCAGGAAGCAUGGAGUGUUAGGGUGCUCUCCCACCCCCCACUCGGCCACUCAGAGGUAGUGGGAGCCAUUGGGAGCCAUUGAGAGCCACCAAGAGCCACUAAGAGCUAAGAGGGGAUACUGGGAGCUACUGGGAGCCAUUGGGAGCCAUUGGGAGCCACCAAGAGCUAAGAGGGGCCACUUCGAGCUACUGGGAGCCAUUGAGAGCCACCAAGAGCCACUAAGAGUUAAGAGAGGAUACUGGGAGCUACUGGGAGCCAUUGAGUGCCACCAAGAGCUAAGAGGGGCCACUGGAAGCCAUUGGGAGCCACCAAGAGCCACUAAGAGCUAAGAGAGGAUACUGGGAGCUACUGGGAGCCAUUGGGAGCCACUGGGAGCCACCAAGAGCCACUAAGAGCUAAGAGGGGCCACUGGGAGCUACUGGGAGCCAGUGAGAGCCAUUGGGAGCUAUUGGGAGCCACCAAGAGAUACUAAGAGCUAAGAGGGGAUACUGGGAGCUACUGGGACCCUUUGGGAGCCACUGGAAGCCACUGAGAGCCACUAAGAGCUAAGAGGGGAUACUGGGAGCUACUGGGAGCCAUUGAGAGCCAUUGGGAGCCACCGAGAGCCACCAAGCGCCACCAAUGGCUAGGAGGGGCCACUGGGAGCUACUGGGAGCCAUUGGAAGCCACUGAGAGCAAUUGAGAGCCACUGAGAGUCACUGAGAGCCAUUGGGAGCCACCGAGAGCUAUGGGGGGCCCUCGGGAGUGUGAGAGCAAUUGAGAGCCACCAAGAACCACCAGGAGCCACUCAGAGCCACUGAGAGCCUUUGAGAGCCACUGGGAGCGACUGGGAGCCACUGAGAGCUACUGAGAGCUAUGGGGGUGGGGGGCACUGGGAACCACUGAGAGCCACUGGAAGCCACUGGGAGCGACUGAUUGCUACUGAGAGCAACUGAGAGCCACUGAGAGUGAUCAAGAGGGGGGCUAUGGGGGGGCCAUUGGAAGCCACUGAGAACAACUGAGAGUCAGUGAGAGCCACUGAGAGCUACUGGGAGCCACUGAGGGCCACUGAGAGCUAUUGGGAGCCAUCAAGAGCUACAGGGGGCCACUGGGAGCCACUGAGAGCAAUAGAGAUCCACCAACAGCCAUCAGGAGCAAAUGAGAGUCACUGAGAGCCACUGGGAGCCAUUGAGAGCCACCAAGAUCUAUAGGGAGGGGGCACUGAGAGUGAUUGAGAGCCACUGGGAGCCACUGAGAGCCAUUGGGAGUGAUUGAGAGCCACUGAGAGGCAGCAAGAGCUAUGGGGGGACAUUAGGAGCCACUGAGAGUAACUGAGAGCCACCAAGAGCCACCGGGAGCCACUGAGAGCAAUUGAGAGCCACUGGGAGUCACUGAGAGCUACUGGGGGCCACUGAGAGUCACUGAGAGCAACUGAAGGUCAGUGAGAGCCACUGAGAGCUACAGGGGGCCACUGGGAGCCACUGAGGGCCACCAAGAGCUUCGGGGGGCCAUUGGGUGCCACUGGGAGCAAUUGAGAGCCACCAAGAGCUACUGGGUGCCACUGAGCGUGAUUGAGAGCCACUGGGAGCCACUAGGAGCCACCAAGAGCCACCAAGAGCCACCGAGGGCCACUGGGAGUCACUGCGAGGUGCCGACAGCCAUUCAGAGCCCCUGGGGGAUGCGUGGCUCCAUCUGGGAUGUCCCAUCCCGAGUUGGGUUCCAUGAGGACCGGGAGACGCAGCACCGGACAGCGGCGAGAAGUCACCGCUGUUAUCAGAACCCACCAACAAUGGGAGAUCCCUUACAGCUCGGCCAGGGCAGCCCCGCAGCUUUCAGAGAGCUCUGAACAACCAGCAAGGAGAACGGAGCCGCCCAGAAAAGGUUUUUAAUAGUCGACAUCUGUCCAAACAGAUGGGGAAAUAAUAAAGAGACGGGGGGAGAAUGCGCCCUUUACGCGGAGAUGCCCCCACAGCUCCCACGGAGAGACACAAAAAGACAUUUUGCACGCAGUGCAUCUCACCAACAUCUUUAUACACAGGCUGGGAAAAGGCGACAGGUAACAGUCAUUGGGAAAGGGUCAACCUUUGUACAACGCUCGAUGGAGAGGUCGGAGCGGUACCGUAAUGCCCUUCCAGCAGUGAGGUAAGUGAGCUCUGGGUGAGAUAAGUGAACACGUUGGGGCUUCGUUGCUCACGAUCCAUCCGGCAGGAGGUUUCUGUGCAUACGUACGUAGCAAGAGCUGCUCGGGGUCCUGGGAACGGCCCAUCGGAUGGCACCGCCGGCAGCUGCCACGGAGGGAAACCAUCACCCAGAGGUCACCUCCUCACUCCCUGCGGCCUGCCAACUUCAGCCACACCACCGAAACGCAUUUGCAGAGAUGGUUUAACGCACGGCGUGUGCUUCUGGAGGCUCCCGCUUCAGCUCAGACCUAUAGAAACGGUGCAUAAUCCUGGAGAGAAGCUAAGGCACUGUCCAUAAUUAGCUAACGACGCACGGCUGCCCCGACCGAAGGUUUCUUUUUGCAAUUUGCCAUGCAGAGGUAAAAUCGCAGCCCAAACCCUCCUUGUGAACGGUUUUGGAACCUGCCAACCCUGUGCUCAGAGCUCGCAGCGCCCGGCUGGGCCGUGGCACGCUGUAAUAAGAGGGAUUGAUCACCUACGUGUGGGUUGGAGAGAGGACCUCACCUCUCCGGGGACCAGCAAUGGGAUUCCAGCCCGGAACUCAACGCUACACUUUCCCCCCAGGUAUGGAGAGGGAAUGCAGCACCGGCAAUCUGCCUUCGCUGCUCUUAGUGUGCAGCGAGGAAGAAUUCAAGCACGAGGUCCAAUUAAAAACCAAAGCAAAGAGAAACGUUGAUUCGAC